AAACAUUGCUUUAUGUUUUUUUAUAAGGUUAACCCUGCUCAAUGAUAUAUUAAAUAGCCGCAGUACUUUGACUGUGCAAAGGUAGCAUAAUCAUUUGGCUUAUAAUUGAAGUCUGGAAUGAAUGGGAGCAUGGGUAGUUACUGUCUUACCAUAAAUAAUUGAAUUUACUAAUUAAGUGAAAAUUCUUAUAACAAUAUAAUAGACGAGAAGACCCUAGAAAUUUUAUAUAUUUAUGUAGUUACAUAGGCUAUUUUGUUGGGGCGACAGAACAACAUUUAACUUGUUUAUUACUAUUUGACCUUAUUGAAAAGUGUAACUAAAUUACUCUAGGGAUAACAGCAUAAUAUAAAAAAGUUUGUGACCUCGAUGUUGGACUAGGAAUAUUAUUGUUUAGAAGAUAAUAAUAAUAGCUCUGUUCGAGCUUAAAUUCCUACGUGAUC
rnacentral:rRNA from 1 species